GGCAGUAGUCUCUCCUUUUUCCCCCUAUCUAGACAGUGGAAGAAACCCAGAUCUACUCGGAGGCGGAGCUCCAGCGCUUUGAGGCAGAGCUCAGGGCCCAAGAGGAGGAGUUAAGCCGACGAGCAGAGCAGCUUCACCAGGAGCACCAAGAGCUUAAGCAGCGGCAGGUGGAACUUGAUGCUCAGAAGAAGGAGUAUCAACAGGUUGUGCUUCAAAUGGAACAGAGAAAAUCUCAACAACAACUUGAGCAAGUGCCCCAGGUUGGCCCCGGGGGAGAACUGAAGUUCCAGGCCCAGCCACCUCAUGCGGCCCCAGCAGAUCAUGCUUCUCCACCUCAGUCCCAUCCAGGAUCCCCCGGAGCACCAGAGCAUGAUGCUCAGAAAGACCCAGUAGAAGCUCUUCAGAACCAACCACACCCAGAUGCUGCCGUCCAAUAGAACAGUGCUAUGGCAUACACAGAGGGGACUGCGUAUUCUUCUUUUCUCAUAGUCAGGGCAUCAGAAUCAGAAUUCACCCCAGGACAGUGGAGGAGGGACCUUUCAGGGCAUUGUUUACAGAAGGAGAAGGCUUGUUGGUUGUCCUACCCCCAGCCCAGUCUCCACCUGUUCCUCCACUUUUUCCAAGCAAGCAGACUCUUUUUUACGAAACAGAUGGCUGUGGUUCUCUUGGGGAUACCUUGGCAGAGGGAAGUAAUUAGGGGAGAUAAUAAGGAUAGCUUUGCUAUUUAGAAGGAUGGGGUAGGCAAAAGAGGAAAGAAAGCAAAGUUUGGCCAUCCUGAUAUUCUCGGGUAAUUUUAGCCAUCCUGACAUUCUCGGGUAAUUUUGUCCUACAAUUUCAGAAAUGCUUAUGGGUAAAUAAAAGGGAAGAUAAGUGAACAUUAUACCUCUUAACUAGUGUAUUGUGCUCUCCCCUCUUUCCUCUGUAUCCACGAUUGGCUUCUUAUGAUAGAAUUACAGUAUUGCACCAUUUUGCAAAAUGUGUGUUGAGAGCUGCUGGAUUUUGUUUUGAAACAAUUUGAGUCCUUUUAUUUAAUAAAUUGAACCCCUUGAAGCC